GCUCCUAUAGCUCAGCUGGCAGAGCGCAAGACUGAAGGAAAAAUUCGCCUUCGCAAGGAUUCAACAGUCCUUCUUGAGGUCACCUGUUCGAACCAGGUUGGGAGCA